CGUGCCACGUGUCCCACGUCUCCCAGUGGGAGACGUUGGAUGUCCCCCUGGCCAUUUAAUGAAUUUUGGGUCUUCUUCUUCCUCAUAACACCAAACAGAGAGAGCACACCAAACAGAGAGCACGAAAGGGGUUGCGAUUUUAGGGUUUUCAAGGUUGUGAUUUUGGUGGUGAGAUUUUAGAGAGUAUUUUGCAUCAAAACUUCUAUAUCUAUCAAUCACACAUUUGAGAUGGUUAGGUCACUAUUAUAGGGGAAAUGCUGCCCGAUAUUAUUUAGGAUAAUAAACGAUUAGUUGAGAACGGGCAUUACUUGAUUGAACAUGCAAGUCCCAGGCAUUACUUGAGAACGCUAACAAGCACAUCAUAUACAGAGGCACAAAUUGAUGAGUUGCGACAAGAAUGGGCGACAUAUAUGUUGCCGAUAAUCCAAAGUUACCGACCUCGUUGAUAGGUUUUUUUUUAAUUUUUUAACUCUUUCUUCAUACACAAUGCAAUAUUUGUUCAUUUUGAAUAUUUCUAACAAAUAUUGUAUUUCUUGUAUAUAUCUAACAAAUAUAUUUUUUUAUUUCAAUUUAAAUUAAUAUUAUUUCAAUUUAAUUAAUUUAAAUUUAGAUUAAAAUAAUUUCAAUUUAAAUUAAUAUUAU